rnacentral:rRNA from 1 species
AUGUGGAAGAAGCGCCCGUCCCCCGGCCUGCGUGAGAUCAACCGCGAGCUCGAUCGGCGCCGGAAGCUCGCCGUGUCCGCGAAGGGGAGAGUUGCAAUGAAGUCCCCUGCCGUGCAGCCGCCUCCGCGUAGAUCGAUGGUGCUGAUCCCGUCUGUGUCACCGGGCGCCGCCACCAUGGAGCUCGCCAACCCGACGGGGGACGGAGUUGCAAAGAAGUGCUCCACCCGGCCGCUGCCGCACCGGCCUGCCCUGGCCCCACUCGCAACAGCCAAGGCUGCCUCCAAGAAGAUCGCCUACCUGGACAUGGGAGCGGCUGAGCAGCGACGCACUGCCCCGCCGCGCCGAGACCCGCUGAUCCCGACCGCGUCCACCGUGAAGGUCCCCGUCGUGGCGAACAGAGGAAUUCCCAAGAGGUGCUCUGCCCCUCCUCCGUCGCCAUGCCAAUCCGCGUGGAUCCCGCACGCGCCGGCUGCCACCGUGAAGCUACCCAGUUCGGGUUCGAGCACAUCCGAAGCAGAGUACAGCAAGAAGACGUCAUCGGCACCGAUCCCGCGGCGCUGUUCGUCCACCUCGGCGAAGAAGGGCACGCCAGUGAAGGUGCGCACGCUGCUGGCGAACCUGCCGACGGGGGAGCGCCUCUUCUUCUUGCGCAACGCCGUCGCCGUCUCCGACGCAGAGGACGGCUACAUUGAAGUGCUGUACAACGGCAACUACCCUCCCGACGAUCCAUCUCGAGCCGUGCGCGUCGCCAUGGACCGGAUCAAGACCAUGCCGCCCACCCAGUGA